UACAGAGGUCCCAAGCGUUGUUCGGAUUCACUGGGCGUAAAGGGUGCGUAGGUGGUCAGGUAAGUCUGAUGUGAAAUCUCUGGGCUCAACCCAGAAACUGCAUUGGAUACUAUCUGGCUAGAGGAGUGGAGGGGGGACUGGAAUACUUGGUGUAGCAGUGAAAUGCGUAGAUAUCUGGAGGAAUACCGAUGGCGAAGGCAGGUCUCUGGGCUGACACUGACGCUCAUGCACGAAAGCGUGGGGAGCAAACAGG
rnacentral:rRNA from 1 species